AUAUUAAUCACAUAUUACUGAAUUAAAAUUAAAAAUGUAUUGUAAUAUAUGUACCUACUUUUAAAGAGUACGGCACUUGUACGUAUCGAUUGUAUUUUAGUGACUACCUCAAAAAUGUUUGUACUAAUUUAUACUAAAUAUUUGUUUGUUUUCCUGAGAAAUUUGAUUGAGAUCAUACAAUAAUUAUAGUCUACAAUAAGAUUCCACUACAUGCUAUUAUUGAUUUGUUGAAUUCCAUUGAGAUUCCGUUUGUAAAAGAUGAAAUACAGCUGGCAGCGACCAACCAUGAAAGUCGAACAAGAAACCACAACUACAACGAACUAAUUGAACAUCUCUACCAGAAUGGACCAACAAUCAGAAGACUCCAGCGAACGUGGCCACAAGAUUUAUUACAACACUGAAAUAAACCAUCAAUGAACGGUCCUCCUUCCUUAGAUAAAAAAUUUUCAAAUAAAAUUUGCUGCUUGAAUAAAAAUAAAGAAAAUGGCGUUUACUAAAUCAGUGGGCACUAAUGA
rnacentral:lncRNA from 1 species